rnacentral:rRNA from 1 species
CCCACAAUGGGACUGAAACACGGCCCAUACUCCUACGGGAGGCAGCAGCAGGGAAUAUUGCACCAAUAGGCGAAAGCCUGAUGCAGCGACGCCGCGUGAGUGAAGAAGGCCUUCGGGUCGUAAAGCUCUUUUGUAGGGGAAGAGGAAGGACGGUACCCUAAGAAGAAGCGUCGGCUAACUACGUGCCAGCAGCCGCGGUAAGACGUAGGACGCGAGCGUUAUCCGGAAUUACUGGGCGUAAAGGGCCAGCAGGCGGCUUGGUAAGUUGUGCGUGAAAGCCUCGUGCUCAACGCGAGGAAGCCGGACAAUACUGUCAAGCUAGAGGGCAUCAGAGGGGAGUGGAAUUCCCGGAGUAGCGGUAAAAUGCGCAGAUAUCGGGAGGAACACCGAUGGCGAAGGCAGCUCCCUGGGAUGCACCUGACGCUAAGAGGCGAAAGCUAGGGGAGCGAACAGGAUUAGAGACCCUGGUAGUCCUAGCUGUAAACGCUGGGUGCUAGGUGUGGGACGUAGAAGUUCCGUGCCGGAGCAAACGCGAUAAGCACCCCGCCUGGGAAUUACGGUCGCAAGGCUAAAACUCAAACGAAUUGACGGGGCCCCGCACAAGCAGCGGAGCGUGUGGUUCAAUUCGAUGCUACACGAAGAACCUUACCUGGGUUUGACAUGUACGUGGUACGAUGGCGAAAGCCUAAGGACCCUUCGGGGAGCGUACACAGGUGCUGCAUGGCUGUCGUCAGCUCGUGCCGUGAGGUGUCGGGUUAAGUCCCGUAACGAGCGCAACCCUUGCCCUUAGUUACAAGUGUCUAAGGGGACUGCCGGCGGGAAGCCGGAGGAAGGUGGGGAUGACGUCAAGUCAGCAUGGCCCUUAUGUCCAGGGCUACACACACGCUACAAUGGUCAGUACAAAGGGUAGCGAAGUCGCGAGGCGGAGCGAAUCUCAACAAAGCUGAUCGUAGUUCGGAUUGCAGGCUGCAACCCGCCUGCAUGAAGCUGGAGUUGCUAGUAACCGCGCGUCAGCCAUAGUGCGGUGAAUACGUACACCGGGGCUUGUACACACCGCCCGUCACGUCAUGGGAGUCGGUAACGCCUGAAGCCGGUAGUCUGGCCCG